UACGUAGGGGGCAAGCGUUGUCCGGAAUCAUUGGGCGUAAAGCGCGUGUAGGCGGCUCGGUAAGUCUGCUGUGAAAGCCCAGGGCUCAACCCUGGGAUGCCGGUGGAUACUGUCGAGCUCGAGUCCGGAAGAGGCGAGUGGAAUUCCUGGUGUAGCGGUGAAAUGCGCAGAUAUCAGGAGGAACACCAAUGGCGAAGGCAGCUCGCUGGGACGUGACUGACGCUGAGACGCGAAAGCGUGGGGAGCAAACAGG
rnacentral:rRNA from 1 species